ACGAAAGGGGCGAGCGGUGUUCGGAAUUAUUGGGCGAAAAGGGCGUCUAGGCGAGGGAUUAAGUUGGGUGUGAAAUCCCUGGGCUCAACCCAGGAACUGCAUCCAAAACUGGUUCUCUUGAGUUCGGGAGAGGAGAGCGGAAUUCCCGGUGUAGCGGUGAAAUGCGUAGAUAUCGGGAAGACCACCAGUGGCGAAGGCGGCUCUCUGGCCUAGAACUGACGCUGAAGCGCGAAAGCGUGUGGAGCGAACGG
rnacentral:rRNA from 1 species